CAUUUCCUGGAAUAUAUUUUGAAUACAACUUAUUAGAGCAAGUUUAUGCAGAUAUCAUUCCCAUGUUUAGAACUGUAGUUACUCAAGAUUUUGUAUUUGGUCUUUCCAGGGUUAAAAGUUGACCAUAAAUUAGUCCAUAUCACAAGUAGACAUUGCCAAAUGCUAAUAGACAGUCAUGUUGCACAAGCCUAAUCCAGUUAUUCAAAUAUUUGUCUGCAACCAAAUUUGUAAAUAUGUAAAUAUACACUGCAUAUUGUCCUAUUCUUUGUAACUAAUAUAUAUGCCUUUCACAAGUUAUAGCUUGCAUUUCUUUAGGUGUAAAAAAGUACUGCAUGGUCUAUUCUUUUGAUUUUCUUGGAAACAAAGCAUUCAAAUAGGGAUAUGAGAUGUAAGCGAUGGGGGCAACUCACCAAAGCUUACAUUUGUUGAUUCUGGAAUGUCUGUCACCAACCUGCAUGCAUCAUGCCACCGUCUUACCAAUGAAGGUAUUCUCUUUUGGUUGGAUUGCUUGGACUCGGUGAGUCAGGAUCCACCAUCACCUAGUUAUAAGCUGGUUAUUUUCUUUAGAAACAUAAACAAUAAUGCUUUAAUGCAUACAGUAAAUCAUGUUGACGCAGAUACCUUUAUUUUAAAAUGGCACAACAUUUGCCUGUCGUCUAAGGCAAAUUUACACUGUUCUUGACCUUGUACAAAUCUUAAUGUAUGAUAAGAUAAUGAGCCAUGUGAGCUGUCAACUAGUUUGUCAGUUUUUUCAAACAAAUUGAAGUGCUCUGAACUUUAUCUGCUCAAAUGCUAGCAGAUUUUGUUAUGGAAAUAUUUUUAGGUAAUUCACAUAAUAUUGAUUCUCAAUAAGUGCCUGCGCCCAAAUAUGCUGGUAUAUUUGCUGACACUAGCAAAAAAGCAAGGUGGGCAUCUCUGUAAGUUAUAAUUUGAACCAAAUGUGGAAUUGGGAACUGUAUUUUUUUUCAAUCAACAGUAACAACUUUCAAAUCUACAAGGUCAACAUUCACGUUUUGAAGCUUCGGGUCAGUUCUCUACCAAAUCAGCCUAUGAGGCCCUUUUCAAUGGAUCCGUUUAUUUUGCAGUGGGCAAACUGAUCUGGGGCACUUGGGCACCAAAGAAAUGCAAGUUUUUCAUGUGGCUAGUCGCCCAUAACCGCUGUUGGACAGCAGACAGACUUGCUCGUCGGGGCCUAUCACAUCCAGAUCAUUGUCCUCUUUGUGAACAAGAAGAGGAGACAAUCAACCACCUUCUCUCGGCAUGUGUGUUUGCCCGGCAGUUUUGGCAUCGGUUUUUGGGCUGUUUUGGAUUUCAGGCUGUCACGCCUCUUCCUAAUGAUUUGGAUUUCUUUAUGUGGUGGCAGCAGGCUGGUGACAGGAUAAGUGCUGGUGUGUUGCAGGGGUUCAAUACCCUGGUCGUUCUGGGAGCAUGGUCUAUUUGGAGGACUAGAAAUGAUACUGUGUUUGAUAGGAUCGCUCCCAGUGUUGAUAGAGCCCUCUUGCUUGCACGGGAUGAAGCUGAACUUUGGAUGCUUGCAGGUGCAAAGGGGCUGAGUGCGGUGGUCGCGGUCGCAUUUCCUGAUUAGGAGUCCUAUAUAGCGACAGACUAGUGGUCACGGUGGUUGUUUUAUUGUUUUUUGUUUAUCGGCGCGUCUGUAACUUUCAAACAGUGAACCCCAGGGGCUGGGUGGUGGUGUGUGUCUUGGGUGCGUAGUGGUGUGUGUACUUUGGCUAUUUUGGCCUUUUUCCUCUUCUUAAUGCAAUGAUAUGCAGCUCUCCUGCAUAUUCGAGAAAAAAAAACAUUCAUGACUUUCGAUAAUCUAUAGAUACUGAAAGCAACUUUCAAGUGGAUCUACUCUGAACUGAUAUUGCAGUUAAGAGGUAUACCACGUUUCUUUUGGGGGAAAAAAAACAGUGAUCCAACUUGGCUUCUUAAUUUAAAGAGUAGCUUGCAUCAUGCACCAGAGCACCAUGUUUUACUUUGCAUUAUGUUUGCCACACUCUUUUACUUUGCACCAAUGUAAAUCAAAAUAAGUUUACUUUUUAACGAAUUAUGCCGUGAACCCUGAGUGGAACCUUAUGAAAUAUGAGGGAAAUCACAUGAGACCUCGUGAAUUUCGAUCAUGUUUUAUAAGGUUUCAUUAAGGUUUUGUGAAAAUUCAUGAGUUCUCUGUAGGCUUUAUGAUACUCUAGUGCCAGGUCAUAAUUUACCAUGGUGUAAAAAGAAAGUGCACUAAACCAGGUGCAAACAAAAUACGAUUUACAUGGAGCAAAGUGCAGUUUACACUAAUUUAAAAUCCUAGCAUGCUGCAAGUAGACAUGUGGGUAUGAACUCACCAAAGUGUAAAGGGUCCUCAUGUCAUGCCCAGCUAUCUCAAUCCUUGGUUCAUUGGCUACUUGUGACGGCUUGAGCUCAGAUCCAUUAGUGAGUUCCCUAUUGUUGUAUAGGACUCUGAGUGAUGCUGAUUUGAUAAAUGGGUCCAAGAUAUCGCCAACUACGUUGCCAACGACAAGUGGGUCCCUUGACAUGGUUAGCUAAGAUUGGCAAUCUUGAACACGAGCUAACUUGCCUGUCGUAUGAGCUUGGGUGAAGUGAAGGGUGCAGGCUGGUGCUCUAUAUAUACUGCAGGUCCCCAAUGAGGCAUCAUUCACGAUGACUGAAAAUAUUAGCUCUGGACGCCAUGGUAUCUUGCUUUAUACUGCAAAGAAUGAUAUGCGUUGCCAUCACUGAAAAUAUUUCGAGUUGUCCACCCUCUGCACCUACACCAAUGGAAGGAGUGCUCACUGCAUUUCCACAUAGGUGAAUAAAAUCUGAUGUAUCACAUUCACUUAUUCCCUAUAUCUAGGACCUAUUAAAUAGUUGUUCAUAGCCAAAAAGUAGAUUGCCUUUUGACUUGUCUGUAAUCUCCCAGACUGACGCCUUAUUUUCUUCGUUUUCAGUUUUCAGUUUUUUUUCCCAAAUAUGUUGCACGAUUAACGUUUAGCCUUAUUGGUUGUUAUCUAUCUGUCUAUCUGCUCCGUAGCAUAUUGAAAAAUGAUUGUGUUGAUGGUAUUUUAACAAGGAUGAACUCUCUAAGUAAUAUGAAUAACUAAGAGGUUUUGUUGACCAGGAUAGAAGUUUUGGUGGGACGAGCAUACUAUACUGCAAUGAUAGAAGGUGGUGGGGGAUUUUCUUCACAAAUGCAACAAGUGUUCGGUGUCUGCUCCUAAGAUAAUAAUUUCAAUAUUAGAUGCCCAAGAUGCUAAUUUGUGGUACAAGUGUAUGGUCUAUCUCACUGCAUGCUGUCAUCUAGAAUUCAGAAUCAUGUUCAGUUCUUCUGCAAACAUCAUAAGUAGUAACUGCUUCUUUUUGUUUAACGAUUGUUAUGUGGGGUUUCAGCACUCAUUCUAUCAAUUUUGAUGCAAAUUUCCACUGAGAAGCAGCUUCUCCUUUUCUAUAUCUGUAAAGAAGGGGGGUUGGAGCUUUAUUCUUUCUUUGCAGCUUGAUACUGUAAAUAUGAUAUGUUUGUAAUGGAUUACUUUAGGAUCUAUUCUGAUCUGCAGACAUUAGUAGUGGUCAAACAUAAUCUCUUUGUAUUUUAAAAUUCUAUUUCUCAGGACAAAUAGAUGUGCCAGAGAAUGUAUAAAGCCAUAAAUCCAUUUGAUUUUUGCUUCUUACAAUAUCCUGAGGUUCUAUUUUUUAGAACAAAUGUUGCCACAUCGUAGUGUUAUAUCCUAGAUCACUGUGUUUCAGAAUAUCUGCAUGUCCCUGUGUACCUUAUGACAUCAGUCUUUUGGGAGCUACUCUAUGCACUCCAUGGUGUUUAGGACCACAUAUCCGAAGACAUAUUGGUACAGUUGACUAAUCACAAUUUCAAGUUUCCAAAUCAUUCUGAAAAAUUCACUUGAAAGCUACAUAUUCUGGUGUCUGAUGUGCAUGUUUUACAAAUGCAGGCACACAACUACAUUAUACCUGCACCCAUCUCUUCUGACUUCUAUUCUAGUUAAAUUGAUGGAAUAUGACCUUCGGAGGAGCUCCAAGUUUGCUGAUCUUUUGUUUUGGUGAAAAUGAACUGCCUACGGCAGCUGAUAUGGUCUCCAAAGAGAGGUGGCAGAGCUGUGACAGAUAAGGUCUACAAUGAUCUAGGCUAGUUAUCAGGUAUUUGUGUUUCAGUUCUGUGCCGAAAGCCUGAAAGGUGACACUACUUGCAUUGGAGGCAAGAAGCUCAAAAUCGAUCAGAGAAUCUCUGCUGUGCCUUACAAAGGUGAUGCUAAUAAAGUAGAAACUUGUCUCCCAAUCCUUAAUACCAGACCUUCAGCCACUUCUGCGAGUUCCGAAACAUGGAACUGAAAGAGUUCAGUUAACAUGAUGGUUCAUUGAGUAUGAACGCCAAAGUUAGUGAAAUGACUGGAAUCCAUGGAACUCUUUCCCGGUUCAUUGCACAUUCUUGAUCCUUGACCAACGAAUAAAGCAGUUCUUCUCUUCACGUGAGCAUAUCCCAUUGGUCCAGCCACUCCAAGGGCGAAUGCAAAAAAAGUUGUACUUCACAUGGGUUGCUAAAGCUCGGAAAUGGACAUUUGACAAAGAAACUAUGAGCGCUGGAAUUGCAUUGAAUGGUAUUGGUACAGAGCAAUUUCCACAAACAGAAAACCUCCACUACCCUGUCAAUGCUCUCUGAUGGCAAAAACUGGAUUGCGAUGCCUGCUUCUUUCAUGGCCUCGCAAAGUUGGAAGGAUUCCUUACAACAACAA